AUUGAACGCUGGCGGCAGGCCUAACACAUGCAAGUCGAACGAGUGGCGGAAGGGUGAGUAAUGUCUGGGAAACUGCCCGAAGGAGGGGGAUAACUACUGGAAACGGUAGCUAAUACCGCAUACCAGCGGAUGUGCCCAGAUGGGAUUAGCUAGUAGGUGGGGUAACGGCGCACCCAGGCGACGAUCCCUAGCGGGUCUGAGAGGAUGACCCUCCUCACUGGAAGUUAGACACGGUCCAUACUCCUGCGGGAGGCAGCAGUAGUGCAUAUUGCACAAUGGGCGCCAGCCUGAUGCAGCCAUGCCGCGUGUAUGAAGAAGGCCUUCGGUUUGUAAAGUACUUUCCGCGAGGAGGCGUUACUCGCAGAAGAAGCACCGGCUAACUCCGUGCCAGCAGCCGCGGUAAUAC
rnacentral:rRNA from 1 species